rnacentral:rRNA from 1 species
ACUCCUACGGGAGGCAGCAGUGGGGAAUAUUGCACAAUGGGCGAAAGCCUGAUGCAGCCAUGCCGCGUGUGUGAAGAAGGCCUUCGGUUGUAAAGCACUUUCAGCGAGGAGGAAAGGUUACUGGCUAAUAUCCAGUAGCUGUGACGUUACUCGCAGAAGAAGCACCGGCUAACUCCGUGCCAGCAGCCGCGGUAAUACGGAGGGGUGCGAGCGUUAAUCGGAAUUACUGGGGCGUAAAGCGUGCGCAGGCGGUUUGUUAAGCGAGAUGUGAAAGCCCCGGGCUCAACCUGGGAACUGCAUUUUGAACUGGCAAACUAGAGUCUUGUAGAGGGGGUAGAAUUCCAGGUGUAGCGGUGAAAUGCGUAGAGAUCUGGAGGAAUACCGGUGGCGAAGGCGGCCCCCUGGACAAAGACUGACGCUCAUGCACGAAAGCGUGGGGAGCAAACAGGAUUAGAUACCCUGGUAGCGACUGAU